UAAACCCCAUCCCCAUACUGAUGACUUAUACUUACAACAACCACCCGCUCACUUCGACGUGUAUGUAAACGAGCCGUUCAAAACAUCUACGGAUUCUUAUAUUGCACUUUAAUAGAAACAAGAGGCUGAACAUGAAACCUGUGAGAUUCAUCGCGUAUGGUCUGGUACUGAUGGUACUUAUGGCGCAUGUCACAUCCGGAUUCUCUUGGUUUGGCAAAUCAAAGGAAACGAAGACCACGACCACGACAACCCCGAGCCCAUCGUCGGACGAAAAGUCCAAAGUUAACUUCAUCUUAUCAUUAGGAAAAGGAAUAUUUGGUCGAUUUUUUAAAAUUGGCAAUCUCUUCGGUGGGAAAAAAGACGAAUGACAUUUCCUGGCAAUAUGACACAUUAUCUUCAGUGCCACGAUCACAUUUUUUUAUUUAAUGAGAUAAGCAAAUAAAGAUAAAUUGUGCGUG